AUUGCUUAUUGGCUCCUUGGAUCUAAGAUCAAAGUGUAGUGUCUGUUUUUAUCAGUUUAAUAUCUGAUCUGUCCUUUAUUUGAGAACUGUAUAUUAAAUUGAUUUUUGAAACGGGGAUGAAAUAGGAGCUUGUUCUGUCCAUCUCAUUUAUUGACCUGAUAUUGCAGUGUCUCCAGGAACAGUGCAUCUUCU